rnacentral:rRNA from 1 species
AGACAGCAGUCGCCACGGUAAUACAGAAGAUGCAAGCGUUAUCCGGAAUGAUUGGGCGUAAAGCGUCUGUAGGUGGCUUUUCAAGUCCACCGUCAAAUCCCAGGGCUCAACCCUGGACAGGCGGUGGAAACUACCAAGCUAGAGUACGGUAGGGGCAGAGGGAAUUUCCGGUGGAGCAGUGAAAUGCGUUGAGAUUGGAAAGAACACCAACGACGAAAGCACCUUGCUGAGCCGACACUGACAUUGAGAGACGAAAUCUAGGGGAGCAAAUGGAUUAGAUACCCGUGUAGUCCCUGUCUCUUAUACC